CACAGCAGGGAUAGGGUUUAGGGAGGGGAGGGAGUGAGACCCAAGGUCACACUGGGCACCUGUGGGGCCAGCACCUCUCGUGCCUCCAUGUGGCUUUGCACAGAGGUGGGAGACCAGCUUGUAAGGCACCUUCCAGGAAUGGCCACAUAUCAAGUGCAAACAAAUGUAAUUUCUCUGCCUAUCGUUUAGGUAUAAACCCAUCCAGCGGCCUCAACUGUGCUUUUUGUGCUUGUAGUUCUGGUUUUAAACAUCAUUGCAGACUUGCACACUGAAAGCAAAUUUCAGUUGUCCCUACCAUCCUAUACAGAGGAGGACUAGCUUCAUUUAGUAAAAUGACAGGAGACAAGGUGGUGUGGCAGAAAGAUCACAGCCUUCAGAAUCAGACGGGUAAGGAUCUGGUUCAGCUCGGCCAAUACAAACCUCAAAGCCUGCUCUGCAUUUGUAGAAUGGGCAAAUAUCUAGCAAGAAACAACAGAGAGUUGGCCUGUGUAUAUAAAGCACUGAACAUGGUCCAUGAUGGGUUUCCAGUAAAUUAUUGCCACUAUUACUAAUUGUGAUACUAUCAGUGGGUUAAAGAAAUU